UACGAAGGGGGCUAGCGUUGCUCGGAAUCACUGGGCGUAAAGGGCGCGUAGGCGGCCAUUCAAGUCGGGGGUGAAAGCCUGUGGCUCAACCACAGAAUUGCCUUCGAUACUGUUUGGCUUGAGUUUGGUAGAGGUUGGUGGAACUGCGAGUGUAGAGGUGAAAUUCGUAGAUAUUCGCAAGAACACCAGUGGCGAAGGCGGCCAACUGGACCAACACGUGACGCUGAGGCGCGAAAGCGUGGGGAGCAAACAGGG
rnacentral:rRNA from 1 species